GCAGGCCUCUUUGUCAGCUGGAGUUGCAAGGGCUGACGCGCCACUACUUUGUAGCGGGUUUCGGGCGGGCCACGCGUGCGACUACAGGAACCCAACCCCAGCCGACCUUGAGCUCCAGGAGUUCGUCUCUUACGUCUGCGGAAGUGCAGCUGCCUCAGUUCUUAGCGCAGGUAUGUUCCUAGCCUUGAGCGGGGGGGGAAUGACUCAGCCUGGAGCACGUGGCCAGUGGGACCGGAGGGUUCCCCGGCGUCUGUUUGUCGCCAAGGUCCGAAUCCGGCUCCCCUUAACUGGAAGGAAACAUCCAUGUAGGGGGCUCACCAAACAAAACAGCUG
rnacentral:sRNA from 1 species